AGUGCUUCUCGGCUCUAUGAGCUAAGAUCAAGCACAGUAUCUGUUCUUAUCAGUUUAAUAUCUGAUAUGUUUCCUGGCUUGUUGAAUGGCAAAUGAUCACAUUUGUCAUCUUAUACUGAAGACACUGGGCCCAAUUCACCAAUGCCUUUUAUUGUAGGCAGAUACUUGCACCAGUGGAUGUAAAACACUA
rnacentral:snRNA from 1 species